rnacentral:rRNA from 1 species
GACAGCAGCCGCCGCGGUAACACGGAGGGUGCAAGCGUUAAUCGGAAUUACUGGGCGUAAAGCGCACGCAGGCGGUCUGACAAGUCAGAUGUGAAAUCCCCGGGCUUAACCUGGGAACUGCAUUUGAAACUGUCAGGCUGGAGUCUUGUAGAGGGGGGUGGAAUUCCAGGUGUAGCGGUGAAAUGCGUAGAGAUCUGGAGGAAUACCGGUGGCGAAGGCGGCCCCCUGGACAAAGACUGACGCUCAGGUGCGAAAGCGUGGGGAGCAAACAGGAUUAGAUACCCGCGUAGUCCCUGUCUCUUAUAC